GAUGAAGAACGUAGUGAAAUGCGAUACUUGGUGUGAAUUGCAGAAUCCCGUGAACCAUCGAGUCUUUGAACGCAAGUUGCGCCCGAAGCCAUUAGGCCGAGGGCACGUCUGCCUGGGCGUCACACGUCGUUGCCCCCCCCAACCCCCUCGGGAGUUGGAUGGGACGGAUGAUGGCCUCCCGUGUGCUCAGUCACGCGGUUGGCAUAAAUACCAAGUCCUCGGCGACCAACGCCACGACAAUCGGUGGUUGUCAAACCUCGGUUUCCUGUCGUGCGCGCGUGUUGAUCGAGUGCUUUCUUAAACAAUGCGUGUCGAUCCGUCGAUGCUUUCAACGCGGCCCCAGGUCAGGCGGGGUUACCCGCUGAAUUUAAGCAUAUCAAUAAGCGGAGGA
rnacentral:misc_RNA from 1 species